UACUAACUGGGAGCUUUUCUCCUCUCCAGCACCAGCCGCUCCCCGCGCUGGCAAAGCUGUUACAAGCAGGUCCCAGCCCGCAGCCCCAACCCGGGGGAGCAGCGGGCGAGAACCAACACAGCGACACGGAGCAGCCGCCGUCCCGACCGCUGCAGCCGGCGACAAGGGGUGGAAAUCAUUAAAAACCCAUUAGCGAGCAAUAACACCACAACAGAACAGCUCCUGUCGCGGGCUGCCGGACGCGUGCAGCGCUCCGCGACCUCUCCCUACAGGCUGAAAAGGACUGAGGGAAGCGCAGAAAGACGGUCGGAGCUCAUCGCCUCACACCAGCGGCUUCACUCGCCGCCAGCUCCCGGGAGACGAGCGCUGAAGCAAAGGUAAAAUAGAAGCUAAGAUCCCCUCAGCCCGAGGCUGCGCGCAGCGAGAGGGGAGCCUGCACUCACCGGCUCCAAGGAGCAGCCCUCUCCCGAGCAGAGCGAGGAACGGGAACAAGAGCGACUCUUGCAAAGUGUUCACCUGCCCUGAGGGAUGGAAUGACUCAGCAGGCUAUCUGCAUUACAGUUGGAAUAUUGUUCCUGUUGGGUGAGGACUCUUUGUCAACAUCCUGUGCCUUGGCAUCUACAGUUCCUCUGGACUAACACCUUCAGCAGUUUUCUUCUCUACACAGCCAGCAGUGUGACAAGCACAUCAGUUCAUCACCAGGUUAUGGGGAAACUGAGUCACGGAGAGGAGAGUUCACCACUUAAGGAGGAUGGAAAGGGUGACACUGUGAUCCUGGUGGGCUGAACUCUGUCUGGGACACCUUUCCUCUGGAUUGCUACCUAUUCCUGAAAAUCUGUGGCAUGAAGGCAUGAUUGUCACACUCUGCUCACCUCUUCUAUAUGUCUUGUUGACCCAGGCUCCUGGAAGGUCUUUUGGAAUCCCUUGUUCUCUCCAGGACUUCUUACCUUUCUACACAAACUCAUUUGGAUCUAUAAAUAGAACUCCCUAGGAAGCCAGACUAGCCAGGCUUUCGAAAACUGUGCUCUGCUGAAUGGUCCAGGUCCCAAAACACAUCUGUAUAUCUUACAGAUGUAUUUCUUAAAGCAGAACAGAGUCUCCUCCCGCUUCCAAAUAUCUUCCUAGAGAUUGGUACCAAGUCACCAAUCUUGACAAACUGGAUUGUGACUGGUCCUCCAACAUAAUCAGUAAGGAUACAAAGACUCUCGGGGCUUUAAGGAAAGGGGGAGAAGAGACUUUAGACCUACGACUUGCAUGACUUCAAGAGCACUUUCUCACAUAUGCUGUUCAGAGAGCUGCCUCAUUAAACCGUUCCCUGAGGGAUAACGAGGAGAAAACCAACUGGCCAAUCACAUUAACCAGGAAUUGCCUCAAGAUGUGAGCUAAUAUUGCCCUCUGCUGACAGCUUGCUACAUAGUGCCAU